rnacentral:rRNA from 1 species
AAGCGGAGGAAAAGAAACUAACAAGGAUUCCCCUAGUAACUGCGAGUGAAGCGGGAAAAGCUCAAAUUUAAAAUCUGUCAGUCUUUGGCUGUCCGAGUUGUAAUCUAGAGAAGUGUUAUCCGCGCUGGACCGUGUACAAGUCUCCUGGAAUGGAGCGUCAUAGAGGGUGAGAAUCCCGUCUCUGACACGGACUACCAGGGCUUUGUGAUGCGCUCUCAAAGAGUCGAGUUGUUUGGGAAUGCAGCUCAAAAUGGGUGGUAAAUUCCAUCUAAAGCUAAAUAUUGGCGAGAGACCGAUAGCGAACAAGUACCGUGAGGGAAAGAUGAAAAGAACUUUGGAAAGAGAGUUAAACAGUACGUGAAAUUGCUGAAAGGGAAACGCUUGAAGUCAGUCACGUUGUCCAGGGAUCAACCUUGCUUUUGCUUGGUGUACUUUCUGGCUGACGGGUCAGCAUCAAUUUUGAUCAUUGGAAAAAGGUUAGGGGAAUGUGGCAUCUUUGGAUGUGUUAUAGCCCUUGAUUGCAUACAAUGGUUGGGAUUGAGGAACUCAGCACGCCGCAAGGCCGGGUUUUAACCACGUACGUGCUUAGGAUGUUGGCAUAAUGGCUUUAAUCGACCCGUCUUGAAACACGGACCAAGGAGUCUAACAUGCCUGCGAGUGUUUGGGUGGAAAACCCGAACGCGUAAUGAAAGUGAAAGUUGAGAUCCCUGUCGCGGGGAGCAUCGACGCCCGGACCAGACCUUUUGUGACGGUUCCGCGGUAGAGCAUGUAUGUUGGGACCCGAAAGAUGGUGAACUAUGCCUGAAUAGGGUGAAGCCAGAGGAAACUCUGGUGGAGGCUCGUAGCGAUUCUGACGUGCAAAUCGAUCGUCAAAUUUGGGUAUAGGGGCGAAAGACUAAUCGAACCAUCUAGUA